rnacentral:rRNA from 1 species
UGCGUAGGCGGCUUUUUAAGUCGGAUGUGAAAUCCCUGAGCUUAACUUAGGAAUUGCAUUCGAUACUGGUCAGCUAGAGUAUGGGAGAGGAUGGUAGAAUUCCAGGUGUAGCGGUGAAAUGCGUAGAGAUCUGGAGGAAUACCGAUGGCGAAGGCAGCCAUCUGGCCUAAUACUGACGCUGAGGCGCGACAGCGUGGGGAGCAAACAGGAUUAGAUACCCCAGUA